UACGGAGGGGGCAAGCGUUGUCCGGACUUACUGGGCGUAAAGGGUGCGUAGGCGGUUCGUUAAGUCUGUCGUGAAAUCCCCGGGCUCAACCUGGGAAUGGCGAUGGAUACUGGCGAGCUAGAGUGUGUCAGAGGAUGGUGGAAUUCCCGGUGUAGCGGUGAAAUGCGUAGAGAUCGGGAGGAACAUCAGUGGCGAAGGCGGCCAUCUGGGACAACACUGACGCUGAAGCACGAAAGCGUGGGGAGCAAACGGG
rnacentral:rRNA from 1 species